GAUGAACGCUAGCGGGAGGCCUAACACAUGCAAGCCGAGCGGUAUUGUUUCUUCGGAAAUGAGAGAGCGGCGUACGGUGCGGAACACGUGUGCAACCUGCCUUUAUCUGGGGAUAGCCCUUCGAAGGAAGAUUAAUACUCCAUAACAUAUUGAACGGCAUCGUUUAAUAUUGAAAGCUCAGGCGGAUAGAGAUGGGCACGCGCAAGAUUAGCUAGUUGGUGAGGUAACGGCUCGCCAAGGCAAUGAUCUUUAGGGGGCCUGAGAGGUGAUCCCCACACUGGUACUGAGACACGGACCAGACUCCUACGGGAGGCAGCAGUGAGGAAUAUUGGUCAAAUGGGGCGCAAGCCUGAACCAGCCAUCCCGCGUGAAGGACGACUGCCCUA
rnacentral:rRNA from 1 species